AAAUGAAUUGACGGGGACCCGCACAAGCAGCGGAGCAUGUGGUUUAAUUCGAAGCAACGCGAAAAACCUUACCAAGACUUGACAUCGUAUGACCGCUAUAGAAAUAUGGAAUUCUCUUCGGAGACAUAUAGACAGGUGGUGCAUGGUUGUCGUCAGCUCGUGUCGUGAGAUGUUGGGUUAAGUCCCGCAACGAGCGCAACCCCUGUGAAUAGUUGCCAAUAUUAAGUUAGGAACUCUAUUCAGACUGCCGUGGAUAACACGGAGGAAGGUGGGGAUGACGUCAAAUCAUCAUGCCCCUUACGUCUUGGGCUACACACGUGCUACAAUGGCUAUUACAAAGAGCUGCAAGUCGGUAACGAUGAGCGAAUCUCACAAAAAUAGUCUCAGUUCGGACUGUGGGCUGCAACCCGCCCACACGAAGUCGGAGUUGCUAGUAAUCCCGAAUCAGCAUGUCGGGGUGAAUGCGUUCCCGGGUCUUGUACACACCGCCCGU
rnacentral:rRNA from 1 species